CGUGGGUGAAAUUUGUGCAGCUUUCUCGGCUUGGAUUCGUCGAACCUGCAACUGGGAACAGAUAAUCGGUGAUAUGUUCAAGGCAUUUCUGUGCCAGUGAUUUAAUUCCUCCACCUAUGAUAUUCGGAGAUGAGAAACGUGGUCGCUGGCGCAAGAAGAAAAACGUGACUCCGGCUAUCCUCUUUCCAAACCAGCCACGUCAUUUGGAAGCUAAACCAAGCAAUGUUGUCAAAAAGAGAGAACAAAAGCGUGAAUAAUCUACAGCUGCAUUUGAACGUUUUUGGUGACCACAUCACAGAUACCGAGAGAGAGGAGCUGAGCUACAGUCAUACUCAUAGAACCAAACGAGCACCUCCCAUCCAGUUCCCGUGCUCACCCGCGCGGUCAUCAGAAGAACCAGUCGAUUCUAGUAUUUCAUUCUUUUUCACUCAAAUCAGAGCUCGAAUUUCGGAAAAGGCACUUUAUGGCAUUUUUGUAAAAAAUUACCUGAGAGGACUGGGCCCUACUAUGGCAUUUUCUACCUUCUCUACGGCAAAUUGCCUUAGACUUUUGCCUCUGUAUUUUAACUGUAUAUGUAACUGUAAAAAGCCUUUUCAAAGGGGGAGGGCUGGGUGCCUGAUUAUGCUAAAGUCAAAGAUAGGCACGUGAAUGUAAUACUACUGCAACAUUUGUACAAUCCCUUCAGUUGGAAAAAAGCCCAGAAAUAGCAUUCAGUUCACUCCAUUGCUCAUCUGUAAUUGGAGCAUCUGCCAGGACCACGUGGCUUCCAAUGGCGCUGUUCUCGUCUGUAUGUCUUCUCAUUCUUGACAGCGGCACGGUACUCUUUCUGGCUGAUACUUGUGUUGCAGAUUCGGUGUUGCCACUGGUCACAUCCUUCGCACUGGAGGCCAUGUUGUCGUCUCUUCACUUGCUUGCGGCAGGAGAUGCAGGGAUCCUCUUCUGUCAUAGUAAGGUGUUGAUGAAAGUAGCGUCGAGUUGUAGCAGCAAUGAAGUCUUGGAAUAAACUGAUGAAGAUCUUGAGAAUUCUGGGGGUUUAUAUAGUCAUCGUGACGAGAUGAUAAAAUGAACAGUACUCAUUCUUGAAUUAGGUUCCGUCUGUAAUUAGUAAUCGUUCCUUUAUUGUUAAUCGAAAUAUCAAAGAGACAGUGAAUUCGCAUCACCUUUGGCAUGUGAUUAGUGUUCGCAAUCAGCUCUAAUUAGCCGCAAGAUCAAAGAGACAGUGAAUUCGCAUCACCUUUGGCAUGUGAUUAGUGUUCGCAAUUAGCUCUAAUUAGCCGCAAUAUCAAAGAGACAGUGAAUUCGCAUCACCUUUGGCAUGUGAUUAGUGUUCGCAAUUAGCUCUAAUUAGCCGCAAUAUCAAAGAGACAGUGAAUUCGCAUCACCUUUGGCAUGUGAUCACUGUUCACAAUGAGCUCAGUCACAAGAUUAAAGAGACAGUGCGACCCCUCUCCACUCUAUAUGUAUUUGGUCAGAUGUAAAAUUAUUGAACAAAAUAGAUGUCUAGAAGUUAAAGGUAAAAGGAACCUCAGCAAAUAUCACGAAAAGUAGCCUUGAUUAAUUCCCCUUGCUUAAUUAAUGAUCUUAUAUUUUUCUGUGUGAUCACGGACCUGAAUAAAGUUCGAUGGUGUAGACCUACAUUAGCCCUACAUAUAGAGAAUAAUGUAGAGAAGAUUAAUAAUAAUAACAAUAAUAUGGGCGAACAGGCCAAAAACCAGAUAACGCAACAAAGUGCAUAACAUCUGCUUUCUUAUCUCGUUACCACUGGUUACACGUACGCAGUAAAAAAAGUUAUCUAGUUCAGAUAGGUUACUACCACUAAACUCCCAAGGGCCGUUUUGACCCGGGGCCGUUUUGACUCGGGGCCGUUUUGACUCUAUUUAAAGCGGGGCCGUUUUGACCAGGGGCCGUUCUGACUGGAU